rnacentral:misc_RNA from 1 species
GAAAUGCGAUAAGUAAUGUGAAUUGCAGAAUUCAGUGAAUCAUCGAAUCUUUGAACGCACCUUGCGCUCCUUGGUAUUCCUUGGAGCAUGCCUGUUUGAGUAUCAUGAAAUCUUCAAAGUAAAUCUUUUGUUAACUCAAUUGGUUUCUACUUUGGUAUUGGAGGUCUUUGCAGCUUCACACCUGCUCCUCUUUGUUCAUUAGCUGGAUCUCAGUGUUAUGCUUGGUUCCACUCGGCGUGAUAAGUUAUCUAUCGCUGAGGACACUGUAAAAGGUGGCCAAGGUAAAUGCAGAUGAACCGCUUCUAAUAGUCCAUUGACUUGGACAAUACUUUUAUGAUCUGAUCUCAAAUCAGGUAGGACUACCCGCUGAAUUUAAGC